AACGCCGGAGGAGGCGUGGCGUCGCUGGGGGACCACGCGCCGUCCCAACAGGCUGGAAGGGUGCCGCCACGACUGGCCCCUCCAGGACCAUAUUUCCCUUUAAAUGCUGAAAAUUUAGUGUGGAAUUGAUAUGUACUGUAUGCAUAAACCACACGCUGGAUGUCUAAGACUGGUGAGCAAGUCUUGACAUCUGGAGGAGUUUCCACCAUCCAAGAAGGAAAAGGCAAAGGUCCACAUGGGAAGCUGGAGGUGAAUGGGAGAGACAGAGGCUGCUCAGAUAGGGGCUUUGGUUUCCUGUCUGCCUGUCAGAGCAGGAGGAGGUGGGCCUUGCAGCACCUUGCAUCUGCGUCACUUCAUUUGUAAGAAGAUGGCUGGAAUGGUGAAAAGCACACAGGUAAAUCACUGCCCCCACCUCCAUGUUUCCAGCAGACCAGCUCAGCAAGAUCUUUCUACCUGCCUGGAGCCAGAGCUGCUUCUGGAAAUAUCUAAAUUUUCUCUUCUACUGAUGCCAAAACAAUGAGGCCAGCCUUUGCCUUUUGGAAACCAAUAGGGGAUUGAGAGGGGAGAUACCAUGCAUUCUCUCUGCUACAACCUCCCUUACCGCCCAUCUUCAUCAGUCUCUCUAUGCCUACUGGCCUCUCAGGUCUAAUGGGCAUCUUAUGAUAGUCUUCGUCCUGUAACUAAUGGAGGCUCCUCUCCAUCUGAAUAUCUGCUCCCAUCCUAAACAUGCACAACCUGAAAGAGAAGCCUUAAGAGUCUCCAAGGGCACUGUCUUCACCAGUGGGGGAAGCCACUCUUUGCCUGAUCACAAGAAUGGGUGAAUACUGCAGAAAAAAAGGGAAUUCUAAUGGCUUUACCCAGAAACUUCCACAAAGAGGAUGGUCCUGUCACUGCUUUUGGCUUCACAAGAAGGAAACACCUUUCUUCCUUCUGUGCCAGUGACUAUUGCCUGUAACCUCACCCCUGAGCCAAGGGUGACCAGGCUACGAGAGAACAAUGAGUUAGAGCGGCUUACAAGCUGGUAUCCGAGGGAGGGGCAGAUGGCUCUGUGGGGUGGACUGCGUUCCUGCAGGAGUGGGAUCUUCACAUUCUACUCCAAGGACCAAGUUGUUAGGGGCAGUGGAAGGGAGAGGAGCCAUGGUGCGUGCCCAGGCAGUGUGGUGUUUUGUGUUUUGUCAUAUGGAAGCCACAAGUCACUCCAUCAAUAUUUUGACAAAGCAGUUCCCCAUCUUAUGGAAAAAAUCAAACUCUUCUUGUUUUCCUGCUUUCUUCACAAUGAGGAAACGGGCAACAUUUUGGCUAAAAGUUUAUAAACAUAAGCACAUAUUUUCUGGUCACAAAUCUUCUAGGUCCUGAUUGAUCUGAAUUUCCCACAGGGGUAAGCAGGACCCACUUGUGGUUUUGUGGUUUGCUUAUAGCUCUAUCCAUAUGUGGAAGGUUUUUUUUUUUUUUUUUUUGGAGACAGAGUUUCACUCUCGUUGUCCAGGCUGGAGUGCAAUGCUGCGAUCCCGGCUCACCACAACCUCCGCCUCCUGGGUUCAUGCAAUUCUCCUGCUUUAGCCUCCUGAGUAGCUGGGAUUAUAGGCAUGCGCCACCACGCCUGGCUAAUUUUGCAUUUAGCAAAAUUAGCAAAAUGUUGGUCAGGCUGGUCUCAAACUCCCGACCUCAGGUGAUCCGCCCACUUUGGCCUCCCAAAGUGCUGGGAUUCCAGGCAUGAGCCACCAUGCCAGGCCAGCUUUUCUUUAUCUUGGACAGAAUGACUUCAUUUAUAAGCAGCAUCUUGUGUAACAGUCAGUUUUAUGUGUCAACUUGGCUAGGCUAUAAUACCCAGUUUUCAAUUAAACACUAAUCCAGGUGUUGCUGUGAA